AUGACCAUGCAUGAGUUGGUAACUGCAUCAUUAUUGUUCACACCAUCUUCAGUUGGCAUACAGCAACUUGAGAGAGAAAAGGUGAAGAAGAAAAACAUGUCGCAUGUAGCUGGUUUGCUCGCCUCGGCUGUGGUCUCAGCGGUGGGCAAUAAGCUGGGUUCUGCCAUUGGGGAUGAGGUCACCAUGCUGUGGAGCUUCAAGGACGACCUCAAGGACAUGAAGGACACGUUGGAGUAUAUGGAGGCAGCGCUCAAGGAUGCUGAGAGGCGGUCUGUUUCGGAGGAGUUGGUGCGGUUGUGGCUCAAGCGGCUGAAGAACGCUGCCUACGACAUCUCUUACAUGCUCGAUGAGUUCCAAGCUAACAGUGAACCAACCUACAGAAAGAUGAUUGGGAAGCUGGACUGUUUUGCUAUUGCACCCAAGAUUACCAUGGCUUAUAAGAUGAAGAAGAUGAGAAGUCAGCUGAGGAAGAUCAAAGAUGAUCAUGAGAGUUUCAAAUUCACACAUGAUAAUUCCAGCCUAAUUAGUGUGCACCAGUUUCCUGAUCGACGGGAAACAACAUCAGAUGUGAUUGAAUCACUCAUCAUAGGGAGAGACAAAGACAGGAUGAAUGUUCUUUCUUUGUUAGCCACAAGCAGCAACAAAGAAGAUACUACAAUUCUUCCUAUCUGUGGGCUUGGAGGCAUAGGAAAGACAACUUUGGCACAACUGGUCUUCAAUGAUGGUCAGUUCAAAGAUUAUAAUCAUCGGGUAUGGGUCUAUGUAUCCCAGGUGUUUGACUUGAAAAAAAUAGGGAACUCCAUAAUUUCUCAAGUAAUGGAAAAAGGAAGCGAGAAUCUUGAUACACUGCAAUUGAUAAGCCAACGCCUUAAACAUCUACUUCAAGAUAAGCAGACUCUAAUUGUUUUAGAUGACCUAUGGGAGACAGAUACCUCCCAACUGAAUCAACUCAAGCUUAUGUUGCGUGUAAGCUCCAAGAUGAGAGUCUUGGUCACAACACGCAACAUAGACAUUGCAAGAAAACUUUGUACUGUUGAACCAUACAAGCUAGAUCCCUUGGACAGCGACAUGUGCUGGAGAAUAAUCAAGCAAAAUAGUGGCUUUGAAUCUAGAGCUGAUAAAGAACGAGUUGAACCAGUUGGACAGAUGAUUGCAAGGAAAUGUGGAGGUUUGCCAUUAGCAGCUCAAGCACUUGGAUUCUUGCUAUCUGGAAUGGAUCUUAGUGACUGGGAAGCAAUGUGCAAUAGUGAUAUUUGGGAUGAACCAUUUUCUCAUAGUACAGUGUUACCAUCCUUGAAGUUAAGUUACAAUACUUUGACACCAUAUUUGAGGUUAUGCUUUGCCUAUUGUGGGAUCUUUCCGAAAGGUCACAAUAUAAGUAAAGAAGAUCUUAUCCAUCAAUGGAUUGCUCUAGGUUUCAUUGAGCCAUCUAAUAACUUUUCAGCCAUACAACUUGGCGAGAAGUAUGUUAGGCAAUUCCUGGGGAUGUCUUUCCUUCAGCAUUCAAAAUUGCCCAAGAAAUUUGGAAAAACAAUCUUCACCAUGCACGAUCUGGUGCAUGAUCUCGCAAGAUCAGUCGUUGCUGAAGAAUUGGUUGUCUUUGAUGCUAAAAAAGCGAGCGUUACUACAAGAAAAGAAUACUGCCACUAUGCAUCUCUUACAAAUUACAAUAUUUGUCAGGCAAGGGAGAUAGCAACUAUUUUCCCACCUAAGUUAAGGGCGAUGCAUUUUUCGGAUUGUGAAUUCCAUGGUGGUGCAUUUUCAUUGCCGAAGUGCUUGCGUGUCUUGGAUCUAUCUAGAUGCUCCAUCACAGAGUUUCCAAGCACACUAGGACAACUGAAACAACUGGAGAUUCUUAUUGCUCCGGAGCUGCAAGAUUGGCAAUUUUCCGAGAGUAUCACUCGGCUCUCAAAAUUAUGUUACCUGAACCUCAAUGGAUCACGGAAAAUUUCAGCAAUACCAAGCUCGGUUGGCAAACUUGGGAGUCUAGCACACCUUGACUUAUCUUAUUGUACUAAUGUCAAAGUCAUACCAGAGAGCCUUGGAAGCCUCAAAAACCUCCAAACACUAGACCUCACAUGGUGUGAGAAACUAGAGUCUCUCCCAGAGAGCCUUGGAAGCCUCGAAAACCUUCAAACACUCGACCUCUCAUGGUGCAAGAAACUAGAGUCCCUUUCGGAGAGCCUUGGAAGCCUCAAAAACCUUCAAACACUGUACUUCAAAGGGUGUGGAAAACUAGAGUCCCUUCCAGAGAGCCUUGGAAGCCUAAAAAACCUUCAAACACUCGACCUCUCAGAGUGCUAUAAACUAGAGUCCCUUCCGCAGAGCCUUGGAAGCCUCAAAAACCUUCAAACACUCGACCUCACAUGGUCCGAUGAACUAAAGUCCCUCCCGGAGAGCCUCGGAAGCCUAAAUAACCUUCAAACACUCAACCUCUCAUUUUGCAGGGAACUAAUGUCCCUUCCAGAGAGCCUUGGAAGCCUCAAAACCAUUCAAAGUCUGGACCUCACAUGGUGCCUUAAACUAGAGUCCCUUCCGGAGAGCCUUGGAAGCCUCAAAAAUCUUCAAACUCUCGACCUCUCGUGGUGCGAGAAACUAGAGUCCCUUCCGGAGAGCCUUGGAAACCUGGCUGGAAACCUGGAAAUCGUUAGAAGAGGUUAA
rnacentral:rRNA from 1 species